GUGCUCCUCUGGCUGCUGUGCCUGUUUCCUGCAGCUGCAGGGCUGCUUCGUGGCUUGGAUUUGUGGAGGAAGCAGACCUCAGAAUUUAGAGAAUCUGAACAGAAUUCAGUGGUGCUUCCGGAAUGAAGCUUCUAUCAGAGGCCUGUCAGUUAGCAGGGGGUGUGGAAGCAAGGAGGAGCAGUUCUACCAGGAAAUGCCUGUGCUCGCUGCUUGGGAAGGGAAACACAUCUCACUCUUGGAAGCUUCCUUGCAGUACAGCUCCAAAUGUUGUCAGUGGAGCUGCACCAGCAGUGGAGAGAACACUGCCCUCCAGAGCCUGGGAAAGGUGCGACCGAAGUGGUGGCAUGGAGAAAAAAGUCAAUUUCUGUUCAAAAGUGAACCUCCAAGAGGAGCAGCAGAAGGAAAAGGCAUCACUUGUAAUUCUUCAAGGUAGAAGGAGGACACGGUUCAUUUCCAUCCUGAGGUUUGACCGGUGUGAGCCAGCCCACCCAGGAUGUGUGCAGGGCUGCAGGAUGUGCUGAGUCAACAAGAGCAUCCCCUCGCAGAGGGAGAUUUGAUCUGGGCUGCCAAGACAAUAGGGGUUUGCAGCUUGCAGGAAGGGUGAGCGCCAGCUGCAAGCCACACGGUGGGCUUUCCAAUUUUAGUAAACUCAGAUUUGUGUUACUGACCAGAAGAGGAAGCCAG
rnacentral:lncRNA from 1 species